rnacentral:lncRNA from 1 species
CAAUAGCAAGUUUCAUCCUAUUAGCACAGUGUCAGAUUAAAGUAUCAUUGGAAGUCAUGUUAUUUGAAUAUGUCUUCGGUGCUUUUGUUUGUUAGAAAUGAUUGGACCUCAAGCUUGCCAAUGUGGGGAACCCCUUAAUGGGAUGAGGAAAGACUUAGUUCAUAUUAGAAGUUGACAAGGCAGCUGACAAAGCAGUUGAAUUGGAAAGACAUGAAGGAGCUGCCUGAAGAAUCAACAAUACAAGCAGCAAUUGAAAGAUGCUUACACAAUUGGCAGCCAACUUGGAAUAACAGAUUGAGAAUUCUCUAGAAGAACGAAGAGGAAUUUUGUAAAUUAGGUACCUUUCUGUUGUGAGAACAUGUAUGUAAAUUAUUUCUUCUAGAAUAGCCUAUUGUGUGUAUAUAUACUCUGCUUUUCUGUAUAGUUUCAGCAAGUAGAAAAAUGAAUAUAAUUCUUUGCUUUAUUUCUGCCUCCAUUGUUCAGCUAAUUUCCUUUAUGAUCAAUUCAUUUCUAAGAUGGUGUCUGAGCCAGCCUUAGAAGAUUCAAGUGCUGGAGAUACAAAUACAGAUCAAAACCAAAACCAAAACAAAAACCAAAGCCAAAAUCCAAAUGCUAAUCGAUUUGGCAACCCAUCAAAUGCUGUAAACCUUGAUCCCACUCAGCCUAAUAGCCCAUAUUUCAUUGGAAGCAAUGACAGUGCUGGGACCUUGGUCGUAACCCACACCUUGGAUGUUAACAAUUAUCAUUCUUGGGCGUUAUCAAUGAAAAAAGCAUUGCGAAUCAAAAAUAAAUUGGGAUUUAUUGAUGGAAGCUUAUGCGAACCAGCAAACCCAAACAACCCACUCAUGGAACACUGGUUGCGUUGUAAUGACAUAGUUAUUACAUGGAUGCAGAACACAAUUGCAGUUGACAUCAAAUGUAGCACCACAUAUGCUGAAAUGGCGCAUCAACUAUGGAUUGAGCUGGAGCAACUUUUUGCUCAGCAAAACGCACCUCGUGUCUAUGAAAUCAAACAAGUCAUAAGUAUGCUACUGCAAAACCAAGAUCCUAUAAGUGUCUAUUUUUCCAAAUUCAAAACACUUCUUGAUGAGCUUAUGAACUAUGAAACUGUACCUAACUGUAAUUGUGGAGGCUUGAAGGUAGUCAUUCAGAAUCAAUAAAGGGUUUGGGUAAUGAAUUUUUUGAUGGGCUUGAGUGAUUCAUAUAAGGAAAUUAAGGCACAAAUUUUGUUGAUCAAACCAUUUCCCAAUUUGAAUGAAGUUUACUCAAUAAUACACCAGGAAGAGAAAAGAAGGGAGAUAUCAACUGAGGGAUACUUACAUGAAUCUAUGACUCUUCUUGCAAAGGGAAAUUUCAAAGAAAAGGAAAGGCAAAGCACUCAUGUGCAGAAGAGAGACAGAUACUACUGCACGUUUUGUAAAAUUGUAGGACACUCACUUGAUAGAUGCUUCAAGGCAAACCCAGACAGGCCAACUUGUACCCACUGUCAGAUUCCUGGCCAUCAGGUGGACAAAUGCUACAAACUUCAUGGCUAUCCUCCAGGCUACAAAUUCAGUGGAAAGGAAAGGACAUCAGCAAAUCAAGCUGUGGCAUCUUUAUCUCUUGCACACGAGGUUGGAAAUGGCAAAUCCCAGGUGUUCUUAAGUCAAGACCAAAUUUCACAGCUCAUGGCUCUUCUCAAACCUGCCACUAAGCCUCAAAACCAUAAUUACUCAGUCAACAAUGCUCAAAGUAUCAUUACCUCCACCUCAACUGAUGAAAUUAUACACCAACUAUCUGGUAUGUCCCUAUGUAUGUCUGUUGCCAAACCAUAAAGUCCUAACAUGUUAAAUAUUCCUUGGAUACUCGACAUAGGAGCAACAUAUCAUAUGAUCUGCUCCACUUCGUUUUACUCAUCAAUUUGUGCUGAGGUUGCAUAUUCUAUAGCUCUACCAAAUGGCAACGUGGUCCCUAUUACCUAUAUAGGGACUCAAAGGUCACAUAUGCUUUAAUGCUUCAAGAUGUUCUAUGUGUACCUAGUUUUUCAUUCAAUCUCAUUUCUGCCAAAAAGCUAACAUAGAUGCUCAAAUGUUGUCUAAUUUUCUUUUCUCAUUGCUGUUAUAUCUAGGACCUUUCAGCUUGGAAGACGAUUGGUAUGUGUAAAGUAAAAGAAGGGCUGUAUCACAUGAUGGUCAAAGAUGUUCCCUCUUCAGCACUAUCAGAUUACCUAAAUUGCAUACUCAUACCCAAAUUCCUACUUCAGCUAUCUCAAAUAUUCAAGACUUUGAUGUUUGGCAUUACAGAUUAGGACACACUUCUUACUCUAUUCUUAGUGUUGAUGGUGAUGUUCAAUUCUCCAAAUCAUCUAAUAAUGAAUUUUGUUCUAUAUGCCCUCUGUCUAAAUUGCACAAAUUACCUUUUUACAUAAGCAAUCACAAAACUGACAAAUGUUUUAAAUUAUUACAUUGUGACAUCUGGGUCUCUGCAAUGAAAUUGGUUCCGAUGGUUCCAAGUAUUUCUUAACCAUUGUGGAUGACUUUAGUAGAUGUACUUGGGCCUAUACCUUGAGACUGAAAUCAAAUGCUUGCAAUGCCCUUCAAACCUUUUGUGUUAUGGUUGAAACACAGUUUGAAACCAAGGUUAAGAUAAUUAGAACCGAUAAUGGUAGAUAAUUCAAUAUGAGAGAAUUUUAUCUUCAAAAAGGCAUUAUACAUCAAAAAACCUGUGUUGAGACACCCCAACAAAAU